GAAAUGCGAUAAGUAAUGUGAAUUGCAGAAUUCAGUGAAUCAUCGAAUCUUUGAACGCACCUUGCGCUCCUUGGUAUUCCUUGGAGCAUGCCUGUUUGAGUAUCAUGAAAUCUUCAAAGUAAAUCUUUUGUUAACUCAAUUGGUUUCUACUUUGGUAUUGGAGGUCUUUGCAGCUUCACACCUGCUCCUCUUUGUUCAUUAGCUGGAUCUCAGUGUUAUGCUUGGUUCCACUCGGCGUGAUAAGUUAUCUAUCGCUGAGGACACUGUAAAAGGUGGCCAAGGUAAAUGCAGAUGAACCGCUUCUAAUAGUCCAUUGACUUGGACAAUACUUUUAUGAUCUGAUCUCAAAUCAGGUAGAACUACGCGCUGAACUUAAGC
rnacentral:misc_RNA from 1 species